AUAUCAAUAAGCGGAGGAAAAGAAACCAACAGGGAUUGCCNUAGUAACGGCGAGUGAAGCGGCAACAGCUCAAAUUUGAAAUCUGGCCCCUCCGGGGUCCGAGUUGUAAUUUGCAGAGGGUGNUUCGGCGUCGGCCCCGGGUCAAGUCCCCUGGAACGGGGCGUCCCAGAGGGUGAGAACCCCGUACCCACCCGGGUGCCCUUCGCCGUGUGAAGCCCCUUCGACGAGUCGAGUUGUUUGGGAAUGCAGCUCUAAGUGGGAGGUAAAUUUCUUNUAAAGCUAAAUACCGGCCAGAGACCGAUAGCGCACAAGUAGAGUGAUCGAAAGAUGAAAAGCACUUUGGAAAGAGAGUUAAAAAGCACGUGAAAUUGUUGAAAGGGAAGCUCUUGCCGCCAGACUUGCCGCGGUUGNUCAGCCGCCCUCCGGGGCGGUGUACUCUUCCGUCGGCAGGCCAGCGUCGGUUCGGGCGGCCGGAUAAAGGCCCCGGGAAUGUAGCACCCCUCGGGGUGUGUUAUAGCCCGGGGCGCAAUGCGGCCAGCCCGGUCCGAGGCACGCGUUCGCGAGGACGCUGGCGUAAUGGNUGCAAGCGACCCGUCUUGAAACACGGACCAAGGAGUCUAACAUCUGUGCGAGUGUUUGGGCGUCAAACCCAUGCGCGUAAUGAAAGUGAACGGAGGUGGGAACCCCCUCGAGGGGCGCACCAUCGACCGAUCCUGAUGUCUUCGGAUGGAUUUGAGUAAGAGCAUAGCUGUUGGGACCCGAAAGAUGGUGAACUAUUCCCGGAUAGGGUGAAGCCAGAGGAAACUCUGGUGGAGGCUCGCAGCGGUUCUGACGUGCAAAUCGAUCGUCAAAUCUAGGAAUAGGGGCGAAAGACUAAUCGAACCAU
rnacentral:rRNA from 1 species